GAUGAACGCUGGCGGCGUGCCUAAUACAUGCAAGUCGAGCGAACAGACGAGGAGCUUGCUCCUCUGACGUUAGCGGCGGACGGGUGAGUAACACGCGGAUAACCUUCCUAUAAGACUGGGAUAACUUCGGGAAACCGGAGCUAAUACCGGAUAAUAUAUUGAACCGCAUGGUUCAAUAGUGAAAGACGGUUUUGCUGUCACUUAUAGAUGGAUCCGCGCCGCAUUAGCUAGUUGGUAAGGUAACGGCUUACCAAGGCAACGAUGCGUAGCCGACCUGAGAGGGUGAUCGGCCACACUGGAACUGAGACACGGUCCAGACUCCUACGGGAGGCAGCAGUAGGGAAUCUUCCGCAAUGGGCGAAAGCCUGACGGAGCAACGCCGCGUGAGUGAUGAAGGUCUUCGGAUCGUAAAACUCUGUUAUUAGGGAAGAACAAAUGUGUAAGUAACUAUGCACGUCUUGACGGUACCUAAUCAGAAAGCCACGGCUAACUACGUG
rnacentral:rRNA from 1 species